rnacentral:snoRNA from 1 species
AUGCAUUCUUUAUGAUGGUUUAAAAAAUAUACAUCAUGAAAACCUGAGACCACCCACUAGGAUGCAAAAUAAAAUAAUCCCUAUACUUUCUAUCUUUGUGGCAGCCUAGAUUGAAUUGGAGAACACAUCA